AUGGUCAGGAUCCGUUUGAAAUAAAUCUAAGGUCUAAAGCAUGCCACGUCAAUUAAAACCCAACUGACUUAACUCAGCAAGUUCAACCGGGGUUAGCUGUAAAGGUUAACUCUUCUCUCUGCCUUUCAGCUACCCAAACGAACAAAAAACUCUCUCUUUCUUCAGAUCUUUCUCUACCCAAAAUUCAAAAACUCUCUCACACCAUUGCUCAAUCUCCAUGGCUACAGCUAGCAGCCACUGCGUCCCACACCUCAACUAUGAAAUAAUGGUGGAACGUUCUCGAAACCCUUGGAUAUGAAGAAGGAUCUCAGAUUUUCAGAGAAAGAAGAGGAUCGGUGUAAGGAAGUGGAAGAAGAAGAAGAAGAUGGAUCGCUCGACCGCCUUCUGCUCGUCCAGUCCGAUCUCUCCUCUCUCGUCCAUCAGGAUAAAAUAUUAGCCUCUGCUGCAAUGAAGUUCAAUGGAUCUUGCCAGAAAAAUGUUUUGAAGCUUUCCAUGAAGCAUUGAAGCCAUGUAUCUUGCUGUCAAUAGGCUAAUUUUUCAGUAUCAAUGAAACACUGAAUGUAUUCUUUAGUUUUGACACUUACAAGUUUUCAUGUUCAUUUACAAAAACUUUUACAUGGAUUUAGAGUACAAACCAAGAAGAAUGUAAUAAAAUAUAGUUAUUCUUUUAUUAAUAUUGGUUUGAGAAUGUAAUAAAAUGUAAUUGAUUGUGUGCCUUUUAUUUCUAAUUUCUUGUAAUGCUUCAAAUUGAACAAUUUUGAUGAA